UACAGAGGGGGCAAGCGUUGUUCGGAAUUACUGGGCGUAAAGGGCGCGUAGGCGGCCGCCUAAGUCAGACGUGAAAUCCCUCGGCUCAACCGGGGAACUGCGUCUGAUACUGGGUGGCUUGAAUCCGGGAGAGGGAUGCAGAAUUCCAGGUGUAGCGGUGAAAUGCGUAGAUAUCCGGAGGAACACCGGUGGCGAAGGCGGCUCCUGGACCGACACUGACGCUGAGGCGCGAAAGCUAGGGGAGCAAACGGG
rnacentral:rRNA from 1 species